UACGAAGGGGGCUAGCGUUGCUCGGAAUGACUGGGCGUAAAGGGCGCGUAGGCGGAUUGCUUUGUCGAGCGUGAAAUUCCAGGGCUUAACCUUGGGGCUGCGUUCGAGACGGGUGAUCUUGAGUUCGGAAGAGGGUCGUGGAAUUCCCAGUGUAGAGGUGAAAUUCGUAGAUAUUGGGAAGAACACCGGUGGCGAAGGCGGCGACCUGGUCCGAGACUGACGCUAAGGCGCGAAAGCGUGGGGAGCAAACAGG
rnacentral:rRNA from 1 species